UACGUAGGGGGCAAGCGUUGUCCGGAAUCAUUGGGCGUAAAGAGCGUGUAGGCGGUCCGGUAAGUCGGCUGUGAAAGUCCAGGGCUCAACCCUGGGAUGCCGGUCGAUACUGCCGGACUAGAGUUCGGAAGAGGCGAGUGGAAUUCCUGGUGUAGCGGUGAAAUGCGCAGAUAUCAGGAAGAACACCCGUGGCUAAGGCGGCUCUCUAGUACGGUACUGACGCUGAGACGCGAAAGCGUGGGGAGCGAACAGG
rnacentral:rRNA from 1 species